rnacentral:rRNA from 1 species
UACGGAGGGUGCAAGCGUUAUCCGGAUUCACUGGGUUUAAAGGGAGCGUAGGUGGGUUGGUAAGUCAGUGGUGAAAUCCCCGAGCUUAACUUGGGAAUGGCAUUUGGGACUGCAAGGCUGGAGUUUGGCAGAGGAGAUUGGAAUUUACGGUGUAGCAGUGAAAUGCGUAGAUAUCGUAAGGAAGACCAGUGGCGAAGGCGGAUCUCUGGACAGUUACUGACACUGAGGCACGAAGGCCAGGGGAGCAAACGGG